CGUGCACGAUGGCACACAUGUGUAACCCCAGCUGUCAGCGAUGCUGAGGUUGGCAGAUAUCGUGAAGGAGUUCUGAGUUGCAGCUGGCAGAGCAGAUUGAACAUCUACACUGAGUUAGGUAUCAUGAUGGUGAGCCCUCAGGAAUGAAGGGGAGGUCACUAGAUUGACCAAGGAAGGGUGAAUUAGCCUAGAUCAGAAAUGGUGCAGGUCAAACUCCCAUACUUAUCAGUAGUGAGACUGGGCCAUGAGUAUUCCCUGUACUUCCAGUCUGGGCAAGAUAGGGAGACCUACCUUU
rnacentral:SRP_RNA from 1 species